rnacentral:rRNA from 1 species
UAGUAACGGCGAGUGAAGCGGCAACAGCUCAAAUUUGAAAUCUGGCUUUCGGGCCCGAGUUGUAAUUUGUAGAGGAUGAUUUUGAUGCGGUGCCUUCCGAGUUCCCUGGAACGGGACGCCAUAGAGGGUGAGAGCCCCGUCUGGUUGGAUGCCAAAUCUCUGUAAAUCUCCUUCGACGAGUCGAGUAGUUUGGGAAUGCUGCUCUAAAUGGGAGGUAUAUGUCUUCUAAAGCUAAAUACCGGCCAGAGACCGAUAGCGCACAAGUAGAGUGAUCGAAAGAUGAAAAGCACUUUGAAAAGAGAGUUAAAAAGUACGUGAAAUUGUUGAAAGGGAAGCGUUUAUGACCAGACUUGGGCUUGGUUAAUCAUCUGGGGUUCUCUCCAGUGCACUUUUCCAGCCCAGGCCAGCAUCAGUUUUCGCCGGGGGAUAAAGACUUCGGGAAUGUGGCUCCCCUCGGGGAGUGUUAUAGCCCGUUGUGUAAUACCCUGGUGGGGACUGAGGUUCGCGCUUCUGCAAGGAUGCUGGCGUAAUGGUCAUCAACGACCCGUCUUGAAACACGGACCAAGGAGUCGUCUUCGUAUGCGAGUGUUCGGGUGUCAAACCCCUACGCGUAAUGAAAGUGAACGCAGGUGAGAGCUUCGGCGCAUCAUCGACCGAUCCUGAUGUUCUCGGAUGGAUUUGAGUAAGAGCAUACGGGGCCGGACCCGAAAGAAGGUGAACUAUGCCUGUGUAGGGUGAAGCCAGAGGAAACUCUGGUGGAGGCUCGCAGCGGUUCUGACGUGCAAAUCGAUCGUCAAACAUGGGCAUGGGGGCGAAAGACUAAUCGA